CUCUUAUCAAGAGCGGCGGAGGGAAUAGGCCCUGCGAUGCCCGGCAACCUUCAGUUUUUCUGAAAAGGUGCUAAUUCCUACAGGUCAUGAUUAUGGCUUGGAAGAUAAGGG
rnacentral:ncRNA from 2 species